rnacentral:tRNA from 1 species
GGGCUCGUAGUGUAGUGGCCUAACACGCCUCCCUGUCACGGAGNNCAAAUCCGGUCGGGCCCGCCA